rnacentral:rRNA from 1 species
GCGCACCAGUCGAGAAACCUCCGCAAUACACGAAAGUGUGACGGGGCCAUCCCGAGUGCCGUCCGCUGAGGACGGCUUUUCCCCAGUGUACAUAGCUGGGGGAAUAAGGAGAGGGCAAGCCUGGUGUCAGCCGCCGCGGUAAUACCAGCUCUCCGAGUGGUGGGGACGCUUAUUGGGCCUAAAAGCAUCCGUAGCCGGCUAGGCAAGGUCCUCCGUUAAAUCCAACGAUUCAAUCGUUGGGCUGCGGGGGAUACUGUCCAGCUUGGGGAGCGGGAGAGGCCGACGGUAUUCCCGGGGUAGGGGUGAAAUCCGUAUAAUCCCGGGAGGACCACCAGUGGCGAAGGCUGUCGGCUAGAACGCGCCCGACGGUGAGGGAU